rnacentral:rRNA from 1 species
CAGCAGCCACGGGAAUACAGAGGGUGCAAGCGUUAAUCGGAAUUACUGGGCGUAAAGCGUGCGCAGGCGGUGUUGUAAGACUGAUGUGAAAUCCCCGGGCUCAACCUGGGAACUGCAUUGGUGACUGCAACGCUGGAGUGCGGCAGAGGGGGAUGGAAUUCCGCGUGUAGCAGUGAAAUGCGUAGAUAUGCGGAGGAACACCGAUGGCGAAGGCAGCCCCCUGGGCCAAUACUGACGCUCAUGCACGAAAGCGUGGGGAUCAAACAGGAUUAGAUACCCCCGUAGUCCCUGUCUCUUAUAC